UGCAGUCGAACGAUGAUGCCCAGCUUGCUGGGCGGAUUAGUGGCGAACGGGUGAGUAAUACGUGAGUAACCUGCCCUUGACUCUGGGAUAAGCCUGGGAAACUGGGUCUAAUACUGGAUACUACCUCUUACCGCAUGGUGGGUGGUGGAAAGGGUUUUACUGGUUUUGGAUGGGCUCACGGCCUAUCAGCUUGUUGGUGGGGUAAUGGCUCACCAAGGCGACGACGGGUAGCCGGCCUGAGAGGGUGACCGGCCACACUGGGACUGAGACACGGCCCAGACUCCUACGGGAGGCAGCAGUGGGGAAUAUUGCACAAUGGGCGGAAGCCUGAUGCAGCGACGCCGCGUGAGGGAUGACGGCCUUCGGGUUGUAAACCUCUUUCAGUGGGGAAGAAGCGAGAGUGACGGUACCUGCAGAAGAAGCGCCGGCUAACUACGUGCCAGCAGCCGCGGUAAUACGUAGGGCGCAAGCGUUGUCCGGAAUUAUUGGGCGUAAAGAGCUCGUAGGCGGUUUGUCGCGUCUGCUGUGAAAGCCCGGGGCUCAACCCCGGGUCUGCAGUGGGUACGGGCAGACUAGAGUGCAGUAGGGGAGACUGGAAUUCCUGGUGUAGCGGUGAAAUGCGCAGAUAUCAGGAGGAACACCGAUGGCGAAGGCAGGUCUCUGGGCUGUUACUGACGCUGAGGAGCGAAAGCAUGGGGAGCGAACAGGAUUAGAUACCCUGGUAGUCCAUGCCGUAAACGUUGGGCACUA
rnacentral:rRNA from 1 species